rnacentral:rRNA from 1 species
GACGAACGCUGGCGGCGUGCCUAACGCAUGCAAGUUGAGCGACGAACCAGGGCUUGCCCUGGGGCAAAGCAGCGAACGGGUGAGUAACACGUGGGUAACCUACCCCGAUAACCGGGACAACCCGAGGAAACUCGGGCUAAUACCGGAUGUGCUCACUGGACUUCGGUUCAGUGCGUAAAGGAAGCUUCGGCCUCCGUAUCGGGAGGGGCCCGCGGCCCAUUAGUUUGUUGGUGAGGUAACGGCUCACCAAGACCGCGAUGGGUAGCUGGUCUGAGAGGACGAUCAGCCACACUGGGACUGAGACACGGCCCAGACUCCUACGGGAGGCAGCAGUGGGGAAUCUUGCGCAAUGCGCGAAAGCGUGACGCAGCAACGCCGCGUGGGGGAAGAAGGCCUUCGGGUUGUAAACCCCUUUCAGGAGGGACGAAGGUUCGGCGGUGAAUAGCCGUCCGGACUGACGGUACCUCCACAAGAAGCCCCGGCUAACUACGUG